rnacentral:rRNA from 1 species
AGUGAACGCUGGCGGUAGGCCUAACACAUGCAAGUCGAACGGCAGCACAGUAAGAGCUUGCUCUUACGGGUGGCGAGUGGCGGACGGGUGAGGAAUACAUCGGAAUCUACUUUUUCGUGGGGGAUAACGUAGGGAAACUUACGCUAAUACCGCAUACGACCUACGGGUGAAAGCAGGGGAUCUUCGGACCUUUCGCGAUUGAAUGAGCUGAUGUCGGAUUAGCUAGUUGGCGGGGUAAAGGCCCACCAAGGCGACGAUCCGUAGCUGGCCUGAGAGGAUGAUCAGCCACACUGGAACUGAGACACGGUCCAGACUCCUACGGGAGGCAGCAGUGGGGAAUAUUCGGCAAUGGGCGAAAGCCUGAUCCAGCCAUGCCGCGUGAGUGAAGAAGGCCUUCGGGUUGUAAAACCCUUUUGUUGGGAAAGAAAAGCAGCAGGAUAAUACCCCGCUGUUCUGACGGUACCCAAAGAAUAAGCACCGGCUAACUUCGUG